GAUCAUGGCUCAGGACGAACGCUGGCGGGGCGCCUAACACAUGCAAGUCGAACGAGGAGAGAAGGAGCUUGCUUCUUCGAUCGAGUGGCGAACGGGUGAGUAACGCGUGAGGAACCUGCCUCAAAGAGGGGACAACAGUUGGAAACGACUGCUAAUACCGCAUAAGCCCACGGGUCGGCAUCGAUCUGAGGGAAAAGGAGCAAUCCGCUUUGAGAUGGCCUCGCGUCCGAUUAG
rnacentral:rRNA from 1 species